rnacentral:lncRNA from 1 species
UUAUACAUGUGUUUAUAUCGGUGUUGUUAAAAAAAUAGUAAAAUGAUCCGUACUAAACUGUGAGAUUAAUAAUAUUAUUUUUCUUUUGUAAUAUCCACUUAAACAUGUUCCGUCUUACAACCCGUAACAUGUUAAAAAAAUGGAAAAUUCAAUAAUAUUUUUGUUUAAACUUGGUGUAGAGCUAAAUACUAAUAACACUGAGAAUUUUUAAAAUUUUCAAAA